GAUGAACGCUGGCGGCGUGCCUAAUACAUGCAAGUCGAGCGAACAGAUGAGGAGCUUGCUCCUUUGACGUUAGCGGCGGACGGGUGAGUUACACGUGGAUAACCUACCUAUAAGACUGGGAUAACUUCGGGAAACCGGAGCUAAUACCGGAUAACAUAUUGAACCGCAUGGUUCAAUAGUGAAAGGCGGCUUUGCUGUCACUUAUAGAUGGAUCCGCGCCGUAUUAGCUAGUUGGUAAGGUAACGGCUUACCAAGGCAACGAUACGUAGCCGACCUGAGAGGGUGAUCGGCCACACUGGAACUGAGACACGGUCCAGACUCCUACGGGAGGCAGCAGUAGGGAAUCUUCCGCAAUGGGCGAAAGCCUGACGGAGCAACGCCGCGUGAGUGAUGAAGGUCUUCGGAUCGUAAAACUCUGUUAUCAGGGAAGAACAAAUGUGUAAGUAACUAUGCACAUCUUGACGGUACCUGAUCAGAAAGCCACGGCUAACUACGUG
rnacentral:rRNA from 1 species